rnacentral:rRNA from 1 species
UACGGAGGGUGCAAACGUUGCUCGGAAUCAUUGGGCGUAAAGCGCACGUAGGCGGCCUGGUAAGUCGGAUGUGAAAUCCCUCGGCUCAACCGAGGAAGUGCAUUCGAAACUGCCAGGCUUGAAUAUGGAAGAGGGUCGCGGAAUUCCCGGUGUAGAGGUGAAAUUCGUAGAUAUCGGGAGGAACACCGGUGGCGAAGGCGGUUCUCUGGGCCGAUACUGACGCUGAGGAGCGAAAGCGUGGGGAGCGAACAGG